GCCCCUCCCCUCCCCCGCGCUCUGAUAUGGUCACGUUCAUGCCCCCUUGUGCUGCUGGGCGAUGGAGGAUGGAGCCUGCUUGCCGGCGAAGAACAGCCUUGGGCAUUUCCAAAGCAGAAUUGGGCCAGUGCUUCCACAGCCGUGCCCACGAGGCCUUAGCCCCAUCCCCAGUGGGGGGCUUUGCCCUUCGUCUCCUCAGUGCCCUGGGAGUAAUGGUCCUCGCCCAUAAAGAGGGAUUGGCUCAGACAUGGCUGAGUGACCCACAUACGUGCAUGAGCUGCGGGAACAUCGGGGGCAGCUCUGCGGGGCCCAUUAACCCUGAUCCACAAGAAUGACCAGGGCCUGUGGGACACAGGAAUGGCCAGACUGGCGCAGGGCAGGAUCCAACGAGUCCAAUAUCCCAUUGCUGACCAUGGCCAGUGCCAGCUGCUUCAGUGCAAGAGACCUGAAAGGAGGCCAGGAUGGAAGAACAGGCCCCAAGAGGACAUUGCUUCCUAACCCCAGAUAGUUUGUGGUUGGCUCAAGACCUGAAGCAUGAAGGUUUAUGUCUGUUCUAAUUUCUUUGAUCCUGUUUAACAUAGCUGUGGAUUUUCUCAUUAGCCAUAAAAACGUAUAAUCCUUUCUAGAAUCCUCGACCUCAGUGAGAACUUGUGGCAAGGAGUUCCACAAGCUAACUGCGCGUUUGUUUCACUUGCCAUUUCGGCCAGCAGCCCAAGCAGUUCUCGGGGGUUAUAAAACCUCCUUAGCCACCCUCCCAACAGCAAAAAUCCAUGACAUUUGAGCUUUAAAAAGCAUUUAGCACCAGAGCUUUUCUAUCACUGAAAAAUUCUUGGCACUAGACAGAACCCAUAAAACAAUCCUUUUAUGCGUCUCCCUUCACCCUCAGCUUGCUUUUGCAGGGGAGGGAUUUGUAUGGAUUAAUUUCUUUUUGCAGCGGGUGGAAUACAGCUGGAAGAGACACUCGCCUGUGUAUGUGUGUGAAAGAGACAGUGCCCUGUCGAUUUUUUUCAUAUCUCCUAGCGCAGAUUUACCCCUUUAUCCCAGUUCCACGGCACUGCCAUUCCCCUCGCAUAGCGUUUCUGUGCAAACCACCGCCAGGAUUACAAACCCCCUCUUUGUCUACAGAGCUGCGAGGCCCAAACAAUCCCAGCUCUCUCCCUCCGCCUCCUCGCUCCUGGGCUCCUGCCAAACGCCAUCUCAAGUGAAAGCAAACAG
rnacentral:lncRNA from 1 species